rnacentral:rRNA from 1 species
ACACAUGCAGUCGAGGGGUAGAGUUAGCUUGCUAACUUGAGACCGGCGCACGGGUGCGUAACGCGUAUGCAAUCUACCUUAUACAGGGGAAUAGCCCAGAGAAAUUUGGAUUAAUGCCCCAUAGUAUUAUCGAAUGGCAUCAUUUGAUAAUUAAAGUUCCAACGGUAUAAGAUGAGCAUGCGUCCCAUUAGUUAGUUGGUAAGGUAACGGCUUACCAAGACUAUGAUGGGUAGGGGUCCUGAGAGGGAGAUCCCCCACACUGGUACUGAGACACGGACCAGACUCCUACGGGAGGCAGCAGUGAGGAAUAUUGGACAAUGGGCGCAAGCCUGAUCCAGCCAUGCCGCGUGCAGGAAGACGGUCCUAUGGAUUGUAAACUGCUUUUAUACAGGAAGAAACACCUCUACGUGUAGAGGCUUGACGGUACUGUAAGAAUAAGGAUCGGCUAACUCCGUGCCAGCAGCCGCGGUAAUACGGAGGAUCCAAGCGUUAUCCGGAAUCAUUGGGUUUAAAGGGUCCGUAGGCGGCCUUAUAAGUCAGUGGUGAAAUCUCCUAGCUCAACUAGGAAACUGCCAUUGAUACUGUAGGGCUUGAAUUAUUAGGAAGUAACUAGAAUAUGUAGUGUAGCGGUGAAAUGCUUAGAUAUUACAUGGAAUACCAAUUGCGAAGGCAGGUUACUACUAAUACAUUGACGCUGAUGGACGAAAGCGUGGGUAGCGAACAGGAUUAGAUACCCUGGUAGUCCACGCCGUAACGAUGGAUACUAGCUGUUCGGA